UAGAAUUACCACUGCUUGAUCGGUCCC
rnacentral:sRNA from 1 species